rnacentral:rRNA from 1 species
CCUACGGGCGGCAGCAGUGAGGAAUAUUGGUCAAUGGACGAGAGUCUGAACCAGCCAAGUAGCGUGAAGGAUGACUGCCCUAUGGGUUGUAAACUUCUUUUAUAUGGGAAUAAAAUGUUCCACGUGUUGCUUUUUGUAUGUACCAUAUGAAUAAGCAUCGGCUACCUCCGUGCCAGCAGCCGCGGUACUACGGAGGAUCCGAGCGUUAUCCGGAUUUAUUGGGGUUAAAGGGAGCGUAGGUGGAUUGUUAAGUCAGCUGUGAAAGUUUGCGGCGCAACCGUAAAAUUGCAGUUGAAACUGGCAGUCUUGAGUACAGUAGAGGUGGGCGGAAGUCGUGGUGUAGCGGUGAAAUGCUUAGAUAUCACGAAGAACUCCGAUUGCGAAGGCAGUUCACUGGACUGCAACUGACACUGAGGCUCGAAAGUGUGGGUAUCAAACAGGAUUAGAUACCCGAGUAGUC